UUUAAAAUGUUAAAAACAGGAACCUUAGUUGUUAAAGAAAUCCAAAUCCGCUAGAUGUAACAAAGUGUUGAGAAAGCUUCUCCUAGAGUUAAGAGAAAAGAAAAGAAUGAUUAGAAAAAGGGCUUAAAAGAUUCAUGAAUGCAAAGGGUAGAGUUUAGUUCUUGUAUUGGGAUUGGAGAUGGGAUUACCAUUAGUGCUUCAUUUGAUGUACUCUGGGUAGAUGGGAUCUUAUCUCUGUAGGCAUAGCUUGGGACUUACCUUUAGCAUUCUACUAAAGCUUAAUCAUUUUUUGAGAGAUCCCCUGUUACUGAAGCCUAUUCUGUAAGGGACCAUCUUUGUCUCUUGACCUUUUACCUUAACUAAUGAUGCAUUGCUUGAUUCACGUUCCAGAACUAAUGAAUGUUAAAGGAAUUGGUAGAUUUGAAAACUUAUGUAGGUCGAGCAUAUGAGUCGGAUUGAUUGAUUGAUGAGGCAUGGCUAACGUUUUUAAGUAGAAUUCGAUCUUGCAGCUUAGAACUUUCAACUUGGACAUUGAUUUCAUCUGGUUUAUCUAGUGCUUUGGCUCUGAGUCCCCGCUUUCAAACCUCACCUCCAGCUUGUUCUUGAUUGUUUGCUUGAGGGCAAGCAAAGACUAAGUUUGGGAGAGUUGCUAAGUGUGUAUUUUGCAUGUUUUGAGCAUCCAUUUGUCAUCACUUUAGCAUCAUAUCAUCACUGUUUUAUACCAUUUCACAUCAUUUGUCAUCACUUUGCAUGUUUAGGAUAGUUUUGCAUGCAUGUUGCAUAUUUGCGUUGAUUUCAUGUGAUUUGGAGCUGUUGACGAGCUAUCUGGAAGAAGCGGACCUGAUCGUGACAAACCACUCGACCCAGAGGUCGAGUAGGAGCUUCAAGACCUCAAGAGACCACUCGACCCCCAGGUCGAGCAGAGGACAUCACCACUUCACUUCACCACUCGACCAUGAGGUCGAGUGCCCUCGUCUCCAUCACUCGAUCACUUCACUCGACCAUGAGGUCAAGUGUCUUCACCUUCACUGCCAGACCACUACUCGACCACAUCACUCUGCCUAGAGGUCGAGUACCUCCAUCACACCACUCGACUGCAUACUCGAUGACAAGCUUCAGAGCCUUCUUCAUUCCGCACUCAACCAGACACUCGAGCACAAGGAAGAAAAGAAGACUCCAGCUAUUCACUCGACCUCUCACUCGACCACCUGGGUCGAGUACAGUUCUUAACCCGUCCAAAUACUUCGUCGUUUUGAGUAUUAGGGUUUCGGGAUAUGUGGCUAU
rnacentral:sRNA from 1 species